GACGAACGCUGGCGGCGUGCCUAAUACAUGCAAGUCGAACGCACAGUUUAUACCGUAGCUUGCUACACCAUAGACUGUGAGUUGCGAACGGGUGAGUAACGCGUAGGUAACCUGCCUGGUAUCGGGGGAUAACUACUGGAAACGAUAGCUAAUACCUCUUAAUAUUAAUUAUUGCAUGAUAAUUGAUUGAAAGAUUCAACUGCAUCACUACCAGAUGGACCUGCGUUGUAUUUGCUAGUAUGUGAGGUAACGGCUCACCUAGGCGACGAUACAUAGCCGAACCGGGAAGGUGGUCGGCCAAACUGGGACUGAGGCACGGCCCAGAAUCCUACGGGAGGCAGCAGUAGGGAAAUUUCGGCAAUGGACGAAAGUCUGACCGAGCAAAGCCGCGUGAGUGGAGAAGGUUUUCGGAUCGUAAAGCUCUGUUGUAAGGGAAGAAAGGGUGUGAGAGUGGAAAGUUCACACUGUGACGGUACCUAACCAGAAAGGGACGGCUAACUACGUG
rnacentral:rRNA from 1 species